rnacentral:rRNA from 1 species
UACUCCAAAACGGGUUAGACGGGGGGCGUAAGACGUCGGUUAGGUAGGAGCGGAGCAGGGUGAGGGCGUGGCCGGUGGUGGGUUUGGGAUCUGGGUAAAGGGGAGCUAGGGGUGUCGGAGAGGGCGGAUGAGGUAGGGAGGAGGCACGGAGCGGUGCCGGAGGCGGGGUCUCGGAGCGGCGGUGGACGAUAAGGAGUAGCGGGUACGCUCGAGCCACCGCCCUACUUACCUGUCCCCUCCACCCGCUGCUCCCGAUGAGGUGGGUGGUCUAAGCGCGGCGGGGACGGGUUUAGGAGAGGCGCACGCAACGUGGGUUAGGGCAGGAGCGAGCAUAGCAGGCUGCCUGUCCAGGGGUAGGAGGACGCCAAGGGGAGGGAAAGAAGGAAGAGGAGGGAGUGCUGUACAGCGGACAGAGGUAGGGCGUAGAACGACGGCGUUGUCGGAGAGGUCCUCCGAGCGGGAGGCACGACGUUUCAUCGUCCGGGCCUGGACCUCCUCCUUCUCCUCUAGUCCCCCAGGUCCGCCACCGAGCCAUGUCAAGGAAAAGCUAUACGAGAAGUACCGCGGCUACCGAAGGUGCCUCGUCUCCUUUCAUACGCACGGAAGACGACCUUUCCCGAGCCACCAACCCUCUCAUCGCGGUACUUACUACUUACAACCGCUAGAAAAAUAACACUGUGUUGCGAAAGCUCAAAGUACUCUGUACCGGUAAGAGUUUUCCAAAUUUGAGGUGUACCAGUCAUCUUACCCAUAGAUUUUCCUGGUUCUAGAUUGACUCAAUUUUCUUCAUGCAACGGUGACGGAGCCACAAAUAUUGACACCACCAACAAGACUUAACUUUACCAGACACCUACCACUUCCUACCCGCCUGUUACUCCUCUACCUUUUACUUCGUUACAAUACCCUCUUUUAACUCCCUCUUGUCAACCGGCGGUAGGUACUUACCCUUCUAUCGUCUGGACGCCACAAACGUCUUAGUUGUCCUUUUUACUGGGAGGUUCGAGGUUCUACCUGAUUUUCCUGUUCCAUGUGCGUUCGACUUGUUUCCCUCCUCACCCCGUCACACCACAAACUCCAAUUCCAUUGACUAUCACCGUGACUUAAAAUCACACACACCUGGAAAACGGUACAACCAUACGAGACAGUAUAUUACUUCCAUAUUUUAAACGAUCGUACGAUACUGUCAAAGUGUAACUACUACCAAUCCGAUCGGACGAGGUACACCUAAAAUGUCACUUUUUAACUUCCUUAUACCAUUUGGUAAAAUAAAUAAAAAGAUCUUCACGUUCUAGGAUCCAAAAGUAAGCUACAAUGACUAUUAACAGUUAUUUAUUAAUAUACGUUCUAACAAACAACUACUGGUCAUUUAAACAGUUUCACCCUAAAAUCUUAGAUUUUUAUGAAAAUGAUAACUAAAACAAAUUAUAGAUUUUUACGUCUGGUCAAGAAAUCACUUAAAAUUUUAAAGGGAAGAAAUAUCUGUUCCAAAUCAAAACAAACCAACAAUUAGACCACAUAUGUCUCUAAACAAUGGUCGGAUAUCCUUUUUUGUAGUGAUAGAUAAAUAAGAGAGUACACUCGUGUUUACUUACUCGAAGUUACAGAGGUCCUUUAAAAUACAUCUGUAAUUAGGUAGCAAAAGUACAGUACAAUAUGAAAAGAUCCGAAAAAAACAGUCUAUUAUACACUAACCCUAGAUACAAAAACUCAGCAGACAACCUAUGGUUAUUUUUAGACCGCUUCCAUAAAGAAACCAAACUCUCACAACUGGAUAAGACGACUCCUGUUUAGGUUUGUCUACCAAGAGACCAAUCUAAUAUUAAUUAUCCUACCUUCAAAUCCAAAAGACUUCUACAAAAAGAACCUCUCCGCCCCCAGACGAAACCAAAGAACGAGAACCCGAGAAGAGAUUUUAUGAACUGGCUCACGGUGACUAUCAAUUAAUUAUGUAAUUAUCGAACCUACCAAGACAUAAACAAAAGAAAUCUAAAUAUUGAGAAGUUCUUAAUAUUACCUCAUAAAAGAUCCAAUAGAACUAGAUCUCGAAAAUAGCGGAGAAGCCACUAGAUGACCUCUUUUUGAAACUGGACUUCGUAGGGCAGCUUAUAGAUAAGGAUGGUUAUGUAUAUGGACGAUAAACGACAGUACACAUUACGUAUGAUAUACCAUACCAUAGGUGAAUAAGUCCUAAGGAGACUUCAUUCCUUAAACAUAAUGGUCUUCAUAAUAGAUUCACUAUAUAAAGCCCUAACCAUAUGAAGACGAGAACCAUCCUCUAGAAACUGGUCCUGUGAUAAGAUGUUUUCGUUUACGAACUCUUUCUAGAUUUUGAGCCUCUCUUCUCUCUCCCUUUUCUCUUGCCCCUCCGCUCCUCGUGGACGUAGUGUAGGACACCGACGUCGCCCAGCCGGAGGCAGUAGCCGAAGAAGGACGAUCCUGUCCCGUCCUGUCCCACACCACUGUUACUCACCAUCUGUUCUUCCCGCUACGGCAUCAACUACUCCUGCCGCUACCUCUAUCGCUCGUUGUACUCCUCCUUCACCUCCAGCCACCCCUUCCGGAGGGAGGGCGCUCUAGUGGUGGUGGUUUGGGCGGCUCCAGUCUCUUUAUCCCUUUUAGUUUUAGACUUCCAUUGAUUUUACGAGGGUUAUACAAAGUCAAGUAUAAUAGUCACUUAGAUGAAAGAAGACACAUUACCAUCCCAUGUAAAAAUGUAAAAGAGAUGACGAGAGUCAAUCCAAGAUAAAGUUGAUGAUUUUGAACAACAUACCUUAUCAGCGUUUAUAAUCCAUAUAGUAACAACAAAACGACUUACUACUUGUUGUUCCAUCAGGUCAUCUUAACAUUGAACACUCCGGGCCUUUAUCAGGGAAGUUUCAUACUACGACCAAAUAUCUUGAUUUAAACACAAGAUGGACAUAAAAAAAGAAAUCAAACAUCCAAAGAACCUUCUAAAUGACACCCGACACAAUGAGCGGUUUUUUCAAUUGGGGUUCAGUCUGGGAAAGUACCGAAGCGAAUAAUUUACUACAAAAAGAGUUAAACAACUACUCUUUAAGUACUUUAAACCAUAUCAAAAUGCAUACUACAAUGGAUACCAAGUAAUGGAAACAUUACUUCGUGCAGAGUUUUGUAAAAGGUUUCAACCCGUUUCCUACCAUUGUGGAAAUCGAUAAGAUAUAAGAAACUAUUAUUGCAACUGCUACGGCAGUAGUUUUCGGCGAACCGUCCCCGAGUGGGGCUUUUGUGGAGAAAAAACGUAGACGACUCGUCUUGGUUAAUGGUUUAGGAUGACGUUUCGAGAUACGAGACGAAACCGGAACGAGAGUGAAUACCCAUCCUUCCUGUUAUUCUUCCUUAAGUACAACCGAUUGAUUAGAUAGAUUAUUUGAUGUCGGAUUGGUGCUAAUAAAAAACAAACGCCAUGAAGGGUUGAGUGAAAUGCUUGUUGGUGGAGGAUCUCGUGUAUGCAAGUCCGGUGAUACUAGAUGGUUAGUCUAGACCUUUACCUCUACGGGUACAUUAGCGAGCGGAAGAGUUUCCUCACCUGUUCUCUCGAUGGUAAUGUCAUUCGAUCUCACCCGAGAAGGUGAGAUAUUUAUACUUCCCUUGUAUAGUCGAAAGCGGAAGAUUGGACAUCGUUUCUCGGAGAUAAACUGACAGAUGAGGGACAUUCCUGUAUUAGUACCUCGAAGUGGUGGCAGAUGAAUAUAAAUCGUAUGCAUGGUUUGAACAUACAAAUAUUACGAAAACGAGGUAGACACUGUACGAAUCUUAACCGAAUAUAAAAGUAGAUCUAAGAGAAUGAAGACAACUGUAUUACCUUGCAGGAGAACUGGACUAUAUAUUCACAACUACGUAUACCUGAAUAGAAAAGAGAGAACCAUUUAAAAUAAACGACUAGUCCUAAAGGAUGGGGAAGGCUCACUUGGGAUGUCCCUCGUUGCGUAGAGGUAAAACGAAGGUAUCCUAUUCCGUACCCUUCUCCGCUUGGAAGUAACUAAGGAUUUAUUUAUAAAUUAGAUAUUAUAAAAGAAUAUAUACACGAGCCAAUGUUAAUGUUGUACCCCGAAUUUCAUAGAUAAUGAUACCUAUAAAACAAUAUAAACACGUAAAAUCAAUGUUGAUUCACGGUGUGGUUACUUACACUUACGUACAAGUCCAUUAUUCAUAGUACUAAUGGUUAAAGCCAAACAGGGGUAUCAGACACACAAGGUAUAGGAAAGUCAUGGAAGACGAUAAAAGGACGUAAAAAGAAGGGAAGACGACAUCUAAUUCACUGAUCUUCGUUUGUUUACCAAUACGGUCUGAUAAGUCUAAUAGUUCAUGUUAUAUGACGCCUUAUAAUCGAAGAAUUUAAAUACAACGUCGGAUCGUAUAUGGUCCUAUUUUUAAAUGAAAACACAUAGUACAUCUAAUACAAGGAGAUUUAGUGCAUAUGGUAAGAAUCCAUAAUUAUCACGUCAUGAUGUACUUCCGUUAUACAAUCGUAUAAUCCAUGAUGAUAAGAAACGAGAGAUUACACACUCGCGAAUACCAAAACGACGUCAUGUCUGAGCCGUAGAUAAGCAGAACCAUGUUUGAUUACAAGAUUAUUCCACACUAUUUAAAUUAUUAUUCUACUAUAACGACUCUAAUUCACUGGUCUUUACGCCAAACAUACUGGCUUUAAUAGGACUUGUAUACUAACAAAUAAUAAAUAAUACGAGACAAAAAUCCUUUGAUAGACUUGAGAAGGGUUCUGGUAAACAAACGAUAAUAAAAAGAAAUCUUCAAAGAGGUACUACAGUGAAAGGUGGAUGACCCAGCACGUCCCAACGCAGUACUUGCCGUAGACCCGCUAGCGGGUGCUCACGCCGGUGGUGCGGAAGAAGCUGAUGAACGACGAACUGUUGUACCAGUCUUCGAGUAAUAGCAGAACAGAUCGUAACAACAAUAAGACUUGGACCAGACCGGAGUUUUGUUUGACUUUAUCCCCUCAACAACCAGUUUGUUUAUUAAAAGGUACAAACCUGUGAGUCAAAAGACGUGAAAUCAGUAAACAUACCAAACACAAGUACUUAUUAGUCACCGACCGUAGUAAAAUAUAAACGUGGCAAACUCACGACUAAUGUCAUCCAGAUGUAAAAAAUCAGUUUCACAAAAAUACAAUGAAACAAGAAAGUCAAAAGACAGUCAUCAAACAAGUUAAACAUACGAACCCUAAACAAAGUAACUGCCUGGAAUUUCGACUACGUUAUUACGAACGGUUGGUUUUCCACCAGGAGG